UGUAUAGCAAUAGCUACUUGCAUCAUUGUAAAUAUGAUGCAAGAUCGACUAUGUCGAAUAAAAUUCUAGGUAGAAUUAUGAUAAUGACAUUGUCUGCCUAUGUGUCUUGACCAAAUUACGUGCCAGCAGUCGCGGUAAUACGUAGAAGACUAGUGUUAUUCAUGUUUAAUCGGUUUAAAGGGUACCUAGACGGUAAAUCAAGCCUAAAAGGAAAUAAAUGAAGGGACUAAUUUACUAGAGUUACUUAUGAGGGGGUAUUAAAGUACUGCUGGUGUAGAGAUGAAAUUCUGUCAUACCUCUUUUCAAUAGAAAAAUAAUGGCACAGGUAUAGGCGAAAGCAUCCCCUUAUGUGAUAACUGACGUUGAGGGACGAAGGCUUUGUGUAGCGAACAGGAUUAGAUACCCCAGUAGUCAAAGCAGAAAAUGAUGAAUGUCAUAGAUUAGAUAUAUAAGUUUAUUCUAUAAAUGAAAGUGUAAGCAUUCCACCUCAAGAGUAAUUUGGCAACAUUGGAACUGAAAUCAUUAGACCGUUUCUGAAACCAGUAGUGAAGUAUGUUGUUUAAUUUGAUGAUCCGCAAAAAACCUUACCACAAUUUGAAUAUUUAUAUCUUUUAUUGUUUUUCUUUUUAACUUUCUUCUGAUUUUCUACUUAAAAGAAAACAAUAACAAGAAAAAAGAGGCAAUAAGAUAUAUUUACAAGCGUUGCACGGCUGUCUUCAGUUAAUGUCGCGAGACUCUGGUUAGUUCCAUUAAAUUAACGUAAACCCUUACUUUAUUUUUAUAUAGAGUAGUUCCCCGCUAUAUUGGAUAUGAUAACAGGGACUAAGACAAGUCAUCAUGGCCUAAAUAUUGUGGGCUAUA
rnacentral:rRNA from 1 species